CCAGACUCCUACGGGAGGCAGCAGUGGGGAAUAUUGGGCAAUGGGCGGAAGCCUGACCCAGCAACGCCGCGUGAAGGAAGAAGGCUUUCGGGUUGUAAACUUCUUUUCUCGGGGACGAACAGAUGACGGUACCUGAGGAAUAAGCCACGGCUAACUACGUGCCAGCAGCCGCGGUAAUACGUAGGGAGCAAGCGUUGUCCGGAUUUACUGGGUGUAAAGGGUGCGUAGGCGGCCCUGCAAGUCAGAAGUGAAAUCCAUGGGCUUAACCCGUGAACUGCUUUUGAAACUGUAGGGCUUGAGUGAAGUAGAGGCAGGCGGAAUUCCUAGUGUAGCGGCGAAAUGCGUAGAUAUUAGGAGGAACACCAGUGGCGAAGGCGGCCUGCUGGGCUUUUACUGACGCUGAGGCUCGAAAGUGUGGGGAGCAAACAGGAUUAGAUACCCCAGUAGUC
rnacentral:rRNA from 1 species